AGACUAAAAUUAGCUCAAAAUAUAUUAAAUAAUACUACCCCUAGACAUUAAAAUAAAACAUUUAUAAAAUAAAAGUAUAGGAGAUAGAAAUUCUAUUUGACGCUAUAGAGAAAGUACCGCAAGGGAAAAGAUGAAAGAUACUUAAAAGUAAAAAUAAGCAAAGAUUAACUCUUGUACCUUUUGCAUAAUGAUUCAGCUAGAAAACAUUAGCAAAAAGAAUUUAAGUUAUAUAUCCCGAAACUAGACGAGCUACCCACUAGCAGCCUAAAGAGCAAACUCGUCUAUGUGGCAAAAUAGUGAGAAGACUAAUGGGUAGAGGCAAUAAACCUAUCGAGCCUAGUGAUAGCUGGUUGUCCAGAACAGAAUUUUAGUUCUAAUUUAAACUUACCAUAGAAAAAAACAAAUUUAAAUGUAUGUUUAAACAAUAAUCUAAAAGGGUACAGCCUUUUAGAAAUGGGAUACAACCCCUGUCAGUGAGUAAAUAAAAAAUUAUUUAACACUCUAGUUGGCCUAAGAGCAGCCACCAAACAAGAUAGCGUUCAAGCUCAACAACAGAUAAAAACUAAUUUCAAUUAUAAAUAAUUACACUCCUGAUCUAAAACUGGACUAUUCUAUUUUUAAAUAGAAGCAAUAAUGCUGAUAUAAGUAACAAGAAACAUUUCUCCCCGCAUGCGUGUAUAUCAGAACGAAUAAGUCACUGAUAGUUAACAAAUAUGUAGUACAACUAAACUAUUGAACUUUAAAUAUAUUGUUAGUCCAACACAGGUAUGCUUCCCGGGAAAGAUUGAAAAAAGUAAAAGGAACUCGGCAAACACAAACCCCGCCUGUUUACCAAAAACAUCACCUCUAGCAUAAAAAGUAUUAGAGGCACUGCCUGCCCAGUGACUUUAGUUCAACGGCCGCGGUAUCCUGACCGUGCAAAGGUAGCAUAAUCACUUGUUCUCUAAAUAAGGACUUGUAUGAAUGGCUUCACGAGGGUUUUACUGUCUCUUACUUUUAAUCAGUGAAAUUGACCUUCCCGUGAAGAGGCGGGAAUAAAAAAAUAAGACGAGAAGACCCUAUGGAGCUUUAAUUAAUCAACUCAUAGAGCAUAAUAAAACUCUACCAGAUAUAAACCCUCCGCUACUGAGUUGAAAAUUUAGGUUGGGGUGACCUCGGAAUAAAAACUAACUCCCGAGAAAAUUUCAAUUAAGACAAACAAGUCAAGAUUAUUUAUUACAUAUUGAUCCGUCACUCAGACGAUCAACGAAACAAGUUACCCUAGGGAUAACAGCGCAAUCCUAUUUAAGAGUCCAUAUCGACAAUUAGGGUUUACGACCUCGAUGUUGGAUCAGGACAUCCCAAUGGUGCAGCAGCUAUUAAUGCGUUCGUUUGUUCAACGAUUAAAGUCCUACGUGAUCUGAGUUCAGACCGGAGAAAUCCAGGUCGGUUUCUAUCUAUUUCAAAGUCCCUCCCAGUACGAAAGGACAAGAGAGACAGGGCCUACUUAGAAUAAGCGCCCUCCAUGCAUCGGAUGAACUAAUCUUAAUCUCACUAUAAAUAGCACUACCCAAGAACAGGGUUA
rnacentral:rRNA from 1 species